CUGGUUGAUCCUGCCAGUAGUCAUAUGCUUGUCUCAAAGACUAAGCCAUGCAUGUCUAAGUAUAAAUGCUAUACAGUGAAACUGCGAAUGGCUCAUUAAAACAGUUAUAGUUUAUUUGAUAAUCGAAUUUUACAUGGAUAACCGUGGUAAUUCUAGAGCUAAUACAUGCUGGUUAGCCUGACUUCUAGGAAGGGCUGUAUUUAUUAGAUAACAAACCAAUAUUCCUCGUGUCUAUUGUGAUGACUCAUAAUAACUGAUCGAAUCGCAUGGGCCUUGCCCGCGAUACAUCAUUCAAGUUUCUGCCCCAUCAGCUUUCGAUGGUAGUGUAUUGGACUACCAUGGCUUUAACGGGUAACGGAGGAUUAGGGUUCGAUUCCGGAGAGGGAGCCUGAGAAACGGCUACCACAUCUAAGGAAGGCAGCAGGCGCGUAAAUUACCCAAUCCUGACUCAGGGAGGUAGUGACAAGAAAUAACGGACCGAGGCUUCACGCUUCGGGAUUGCAAUGAGUAGAAUUUAAACCCCUUUACGAGGAUCAAUUGGAGGGCAAGUCUGGU
rnacentral:rRNA from 1 species